GAUGAUUCUUUUCGUCGACGCUCCGAUCUGGUAAACGUGGCGGUGAAGAAGAUCCGGUUCGCUGCGUCGAUUGCGUUCAGAUUCGUUGAUGCGUGCGACAUUAGUGAUACUGCGUCCGAUUGUAGCUGCGGGAGACAUCACUUAAAAGAGAAGCAAACGUAAGAUCGAGUCACAUUUAGUCAAUUUUCUCGCCACCCUACCAAAUUGUUUCACGUGAAAAUCGAGGGGUUCGAUCAUACGUGAUCGAUCUCGCAACGGAGACGUUGAUCACGCGUCGUCGUUGCUUUCUCGAAUCGGUCGGAAUGAUUUGCAACGGGCAGUCAUCGAGAGAAAGAACGCGGCAAUAAAUAUAAGCUAUCCUCGUGAAGCAAGAAGAACGAUUAAAUCGGGACAUUUGACACGCCAACGACGAGCUAUGAUAUCCGCCCUUGAACAUUCAAACACCAUAGGCGCGAUACGUUUCGACUGCUUCAGCCGGCCAGUCUCGAAGUAACAACCUCGAUACGCACGCACGUAUGCACGUACGCACGUACGCACGUAGCACGCACACCGGCAGCGAAACAGGCACGCACGCACGCACGCACGGUAUGGUCGAGAUCUUUCGAAGAAGAUAAGACACAGAGGCGAGAUUCGCGCGUUCUUUAAUGAACGUUGCGCCGAUCCUGGUUGCAUUCUGUCAGUGAGUCUUCGUUCACGAGGAAAACGAGGUUUCAGAGGAGGAAGAGAAGACCUUGAGAGAGAUCCCUGCCUGUUGCGAAGCUUUUUGUGCAUGUACGCGUACGCGUACGUACAGCGACGGAGCUCUCGGCUCGAAUGUUUUGAAAGAUAUUCAUUCGCUUCACGAUAACGCUCCACGUGUUUUUUUUAUUCGAUGCUUCGUUCAAAAGUGAUCGAUACGCGCGCACGCGCCGACUGAUGCAUCGGGUCGAUCUAUAUCGAUAUGAUACGAUCUACAUACGCGUGAUUCCUCUCUCUCUCUCUCUCUCUCUCUCUCUCUCUCUCUCUCUCUCUCUCUCUCUCUCUUUCUCUAUAGUUCCCAAUAUCGGAAAAACAAGUACUUGCGAAAACGAAUAGAUGCGCGAGUAUCAGUGGGAAUCUGAGAAAUGUCGCGAAUUUCGAAUCGCGUCGCCACGAUCGGCGCGGCCCUCGCCAUUGCUUUGCUCGUGAUAUUGCUGGUGAUCCUGUGGUCGGAUGUGCGUAAUGUAAACGGAAUCGAAGAUUUUCGUCAAAUACCGAACGACUCGUCGACCAAUCGCAUUGUCAAUGAAACGUGGAGAAAACAGGCCGAUGACCUCCGCCGCGCUACUGCGACGCAUCUGCUUUCGACCUAUCAAUCGAAUCAACGCAACUUUACGAACGACGUGCUUUUUGAGGAACCAAAAAAUACGAAGAAAUACAAUAAUAUAUCGUCAAUCGAUGUAUUACCAUCCGCUAAGGGCAACCUCGAGUACAUCAAGCCUUUAAAAAUUAGUCAAAAUCAAUAUGAAGAUCCACCCGAAAGCUUUUCUACGGCGGAGAGACAUCACAGUGGUCAUUUUCGACACGCGUCAGCUGAAGUUUGGGACCCUCAUCCGCAGUAUGAAUUUACCGCUUUCGGGAAACGAUUCCGCCUGCGAUUGGCACACGACGCCAGUUUUGUAUCUCCCGGCAUAAAGGUAACACACACGAGUGAGAACAUAACCAGCAGAGAACACACUGGUCAUCAGCUGGGUUGUUUCUACAGCGGGUCAGUUGAUGGUGAUCCGAGUUCAGCGGUCAGUGUCAGUCUUUGUCAUGGAAUGACUGGCCAUAUGAAGACAUCAAUAGGUAACUACUUCAUUAAACCUACCGAACAUUGGCGCGAAGGUGAUGAAGAUUCUCUCGGAUCUUCUCUAGAGCAUGCAAUCUACCAUGUACCUACGACGACGUCCAAUUUCAAUGAUGAUACAAAUGUUAAUAUAUUGGAAGAUGAAGUUAAGAAUCGCAAUUGUGGAGUCACAGACUAUGAUUUGGACGACACUACCUUGUUAGUGGAUGAUAAUUUUUCUCACAAAAUCGAUGUUAGAAAGCAUUUGCGAGAACGUAGAUCAUUGACGAGGAAGACUGCAUCGUUGGAGCGGUUUCUUAGAGAGAAGGAAGAAAAACAUAAGCGAUUCACGAAGCAAAGCGAGCAUAGUCAAUAUUUCUUUCAAAAAGAUGACUACGAUGACAGGUAUCACAGCAUGGAACGUGAACGCAGCUAUCAAGAAUAUUCCCAAGACUCGGAAAUGGAUUCGGAUCCUUUUCUUACAUGGAGACCACGGCGGGCUUUACCGCGUGAAUAUUUCAUAGAAAUUAUGGUGGUGGCCGAUGCAAAAAUGGUGAAAUACCAUGGUAGCGGUUUAGUUAGCUACAUUCUAGUCCUCAUGAGCACGGUCUCACGAAUCUACAAGGACCAUUCUAUCGGCAAUCCAGUGAGUAUAGCUGUGAUGAAAAUCGUCCAAACCGACGAAAUAUUCGGUACUAAACAAAGCGGAAGCGAUGGUAUCGCUGCGGCUCUAAUGUUAAAGCAAUUUUGUCAAUGGCAAAAAAACAACAAUCCUGACGAACCAUCUCCAGAACAUCACGACGCUGCACUUCUUUUAACUAGAGAAAACUUGUGCCAUAAUCCGGAUCAAAAGCGUUGUGACACUUUGGGCUUGGCGGAAUUGGGUAGAAUGUGCUCACCAGGAGCUUCAUGCGCUAUAGUACAGGAUAAUGGAUUAGCAGCGGCGUUUACUAUCGCCCACGAGAUUGGUCAUGUACUCAAUAUGCCGCACGACGAUGAUCCGAAAUGCAGGAGUUUCAGGAAUCGUACGGGUGUACACAAUGUGAUGUCUCGUAUGCUAGAUGAUAAUACUUUCCCCUGGGAAUGGUCCAGGUGUUCUCGACAUUAUGUUACCGAAUUUUUCGAAUCGGGAUAUGCCAAUUGUUUGCUGGAUGAACCUAGUAAAACAAUGGAGAGACAAGCAGGUCGGUUACCCGGUGAGGAUUAUUCAAAGGAUAAACAAUGCGAACUUGUAUUUGGACAAGGAUCUAGAAUCUGUUCUCUUAAGGAGAAGGAUGUGUGUAAGACAUUGUGGUGCACCGUGCCACAAUGGAACCAUCACCAACGAUGUCAUACUCAACACACCCCGUGGGCAGACGGUACGCCAUGCGCUCCCCAGAAAUGGUGUCACCGUGGCGAAUGCGUUUCACGUAGAAACCUCGAACCAGUGCACGGUCAAUGGGGCGAAUGGGGAAGAUACGGCGAGUGUUCGCGAACCUGCGGCGGCGGUGUCAAAAAGAAAUAUCGUGAGUGCGAUAAACCAGCACCGAUGAACGGUGGCAAUUAUUGUAUCGGCGAGCGCGUCAAAUAUCGUAGUUGCGGCAUCAGAGAGUGUCCACCAGAUAGUCCGGAUUUCAGAGAACAGCAGUGUGCGAAAUUUGACAACAACAAUUUCAACAUCCAGAAUCUCACUAGAGACGUCAAGUGGCACGCAAAAUAUAAUAAAAUAGAGCCAGAAGAGCUUUGUAAAUUGUAUUGUCGAGUGGAAAGCAAUCAGUAUUACAUGCUACGUGAUAAAGUAAUUGAUGGAACGCCCUGUGGUCCCGACAUUUUUGAUAUAUGUGUUAACGGCCAAUGUAAACCAGCUGGUUGUGAUCACGUUUUGAACUCGACGGCAAAGCUCGACAUCUGCGGAGUUUGUAGAGGCGAUAAUUCCACUUGUCAAAGGAUCGCAAGCUCCUACAAUUCUAGCGUAUACGGUUAUACGAGAGUAGCCAAAAUCCCUGCCGGCAGCAGUAACAUUGACAUUAGGCAACAUGGAUGGCUGGGCGCUUACAAUGACAGUAAUUAUCUUGCUAUACGAAUUGGAGAAGAUGGAGAAUACAUUCUAAAUGGCAAUUUUAUGGUAAUGCACCGUAAAGUGAUCGUCCAUCCAGGCGUCACUAUUGAAUACAGCGGACCAGAACCAGUCGUCGAACGCCUAAACAGUUCUAGAUCUAUCGCCAUCGAUUUAAUUUUGGAGGUACUGUCCGUAGGAAAAAUAGAUCCACCGCAAAUUGUGUACGAAUAUACCAUACCGAAAAGAAUUCUAGACAGCCAUACGUGGGUGCUGACCAAUUGGUCAAUCUGCAAUCGAGUGUGUCAAGGUAUGAUGUAUCGUGAGGCUGAAUGUAGAAAUAUCGAGCGCAAGAAUCUAGUGCUCAACGAUUACUGCCAAGCUGAAGAGAAACCACGAGGCGAGAGUCGAAUGUGCAACACGCAUUGCACCCUGCAGUGGCAGAUAAGCUCUGUGUCGGAGUGCUCGAGUCUUUGCGGUCCGGGGACGCGAAACAUCACCUUGCAAUGUGUUCAAAUUCUGUUAGACUCGUCGCACGCUCCACGUUCAAUAUCUGAACACGCGUGUUUACACGUUGAGAAACCAAGCGAGAUUCAGUCUUGCGUAGGCCCGUGCAACGACGUUCAUUGGAGUUACAGCGAGUGGACUGCCUGCAGCGUCUCAUGUGGCAGUGGUGUACAAACGAGAAGCGCGAUAUGUGUUGAUUCAAACGAGAGACAAGUACGAGAUGAAAACUGCGCUGGACAGGAGAAACAUUUCAACAACAUAUGCGUUAAAAAAGCUUGUCCAAAGUGGGACCUAGGAGAUUGGACUCCGUGUUCCACGACAUGUGGCGUCGGCGAACGACACAGAACUUCUUGGUGCCAAAUCGAGAAUCACGUGGUAGUAGACACUUACUGCAGAAACAUUCCGAUUGAAACGACAGAGAUCUGUGACGCUGGCCCUUGUCAUCAGUGGCAUGCCGGCGAUUGGAGUCCGUGUUCGGUGACAUGUGGUAAAGGAACAUCACGAAGGAAAGUUGUUUGCAAAAGUGUUGAUGGUGCAACUAGUAACGAGUGUUCCAUUUCCGAAAAACCGGAAAAUACCACUCUCUGUACGCUUGCCCCGUGCCCCAGUGUUCAGGUGAGUCUGCCGCCGAUUACAUACUCGUCCAAUUCCCCUCGCGGAAAUCCUUCUCAACAAGACAAUGAGAUUGACAAUAGUAUUACAUCGCACUUUGAUUACAAAUGGCACGUAGGAUCUUAUGGAGACUGCUCGAAAAAAUGUGAUGCUGGAUACAAAACCAGAUUAGUAAAAUGUGUAUCCUUGAAAACGGGAAUGAUUGAGUCCGAUCACUAUUGCGACUCCAAUAAACGGCCGAUGGCCAGCAGCACGUGCAAUCAACAUCCGUGUCCUACUUGGAGAACCAGUAAUUGGAGUGAGUGUGAUGUGGAGUGCGGUCAUGGAUACCAGUACCGUCAGAUACGUUGCCAAAAUCAUCGUGGUGAAAUUGUGUCAAACAAGGAAUGUGUUGACGAACAACCGAAAGAUGUACGAAGAUGUCAAAAAGAGUCCUGCAGAAGCAAUCCUAAGAGUAGCAAAGAAAAUAAUUUCUCUAAUAUCAUACGCAGAUGGAAAAUGUCUACCUGGACUCCCUGUUCUAAAUCGUGCGGCACUGGGAUACAGACGCGCAGAGUGGAAUGUAUGAUGAGAAGAGGCACCCAUGGGCCGGAAGUACCCGUUAAGGACGAGCAGUGCUCGAGAUUGAAAUUGCGCAAACCGAAAACGCAGAGAUUAUGCCAACGCAUUGCCUGCGGUUAUAUUUGGCAAGAAGGCAUCUGGUCGGAGUGUUCUAUGAUGUGUGGUAAAGGAAUACAACGCCGUGCAGUCACUUGCCAUCGAGUAAAUCACUAUGGCUGGAUCGAUCCAACUCCAACCGAAGGUUGUCCAAUGGAUCAGAAACCAGUUGGAGUGCAAACGUGUACACUACGAGAGUGUCACUAUCAAUAUUAUUGGACUGCUGGUCCUUGGAGGAAAUGUAGUCAUUUCUGUGGACGUAAAGGCCGACAAAUCCGCAAACUUUAUUGCCACGAUAUAACCGGCAGAAAAGUUGCUCGACGUCACUGUUCACUGAAAUUCAAGCCACAACGAAAGCGCAAAUGUAAUCAAAGAAGAUGCGGACCGAUUAGCUGUCUUGAAAUUCAGAAACGCCUCAAGUUCUCUAUGGAUGGUGAAUAUCCAUUAUUGAUCGGUGGUAGAAAUAUGUCGAUCUAUUGUCACAGAAUGGCAGGUACCGAGCCGUUAGAAUAUCUAACAUUACCAGCUGGCGAUAACGAAAACUAUGCGGAGAUCUACGAUAAAAGGUUGGUUAAACAAUCCAUAUACGUGCCCGUUUAAUGGCCAAAGAAAUGACAGUUGUGACUGUGUGUCUGAAGUGGAUAAGAGUUUCUCUGGCAAAACAAUGUUCAAAAGAGUACGCAUAGAUCCCGUAAGAUUAUACAUUAUAGCAAAUGAUUACACGUUUUCGCGCACCAAGGGAAAGAAGCGUGUGGAAUAUGGCACAGCUGGUGAUUGUUACAGUCUCACUCAUUGUCCACAAGGUCGUUUCAGUAUCGAUUUGGGAGGUACCGCCUUGAGAUUAUCAUCAGA
rnacentral:misc_RNA from 1 species